GACAGAGGUGCCAAGCGUUAGGCGGAAUCACUGGGCUUAAAGCGUGUGUAGGUGGAUUUGUAAGUACCUUGUGAAAUCCCAUGGCUCAACCAUGGAACUGCUCGGUAUACUGCGAAUCUUGAGCCACUUAGGGGCUACCGGAACAAAUGGUGGAGCGGUGAAAUGCGUAGAUAUCAUUUGGAACGCCAAUGGUGAAAACAGGUAGCUGGGAGUGUGCUGACACUGAGACACGAAAGCCAGGGGAGCAAACAGG
rnacentral:rRNA from 1 species